rnacentral:lncRNA from 1 species
CUCGCUCUGGUAAUGUUAACCUGCCUCCGCGCGAAAACGACAACCCCGGUCCCCGAACGCUUAUCAUCCGCCGGGCAGUGUAGUCACUUAUGUUCGCUAAAUCCGUUCAAGUUGAAUAAACAGUCCUCAGGUUGUGCUUUCAAUGUUCUCCCGCCACAGGUGAAACUUACAAAAUGUGUUGCCGUUGGUAACCUACCCCCUAGUUCCAAUGUGCUCUGGCUGUCGUUUCUGUAGCCCAUUAGUGCGAUUUGAAGAUGCUCCGCUCUUUUCAAGCGUGGUCUCUUGCUCUGUACGGAACAGGCAAAACGCUCGGUUGAUAAGCUAUCAUUCACCGGGAAACGGGAGCAGGAGAGAGAGAGAAAGAGAGCGAAACGGGAGCAGGAGAGAGAGAGAGAGCGAGAGGGCGCCCUCGCUAUGGUGGAUAGGCGGGAGGGACAUGCGCGCAGUGGGAGAUCGAGCAAGUAGGGUGUAUAACAUUACAAUUGUAUAGCUUUGUAGACUGCGGUGAAUGAACCUACAGCAGCCAAGGUGAUAAUGGCUGAGUGUAACGGAGACGCUCGGAGUCGAGAAGCAGGUGCAGGGGGUGUCGCCCAACUUCCCCACUUAUCCCCUGUGUUUUCUGUCUGUCUGUGCCAGUUUGUCUUGGUUGUCCAGUCAACCAGCCUUUUGUGUCAGGUCCUGCUCCCCCCCCCC